rnacentral:rRNA from 1 species
CCUACGGGAGGCAGCAGUGAGGAAUAUUGGUCAAUGGACGCAAGUCUGAACCAGCCAUGCCGCGUGCAGGAAGACGGCUCUAUGAGUUGUAAACUGCUUUUGUACGAGGGUAAACGCAGAUACGCGUAUCUGUCUGAAAGUAUCGUACGAAUAAGGAUCGGCGAACUCCGUGCCAGCAGCCACGGUAAUACGGAGGAUUCAAGCGUUCUCCGGAUUUAUUGGGUUUAAAGGGUGCGUAGGCGGUCGGAUAAGUUAGCGGUGAAAUCCCGAGGCUCAACUUCGGAAUUGCCUCUGAUACUGUUCGGCGAGAGAGUAGUUGCGGUAGGCGGAAUGUAUGGGGUAGCGGUGAAAUGCUUAGAGAUCAUACAGAACACCGAUUGCGAAGGCAGCUUACCAAGCUACUUCUGACGUUGAGGCACGAAAGCGUGGGGAGCAAACAGGAUUAGAUACCCUUGUAGUC